rnacentral:rRNA from 1 species
GGGAAACUGAGAAUAAUACUCCAUAGGUCCAGGAUGCUGGAAUGCACUUAGACUGAAAAUUCCGGUGCCUAAGGAUGAGUCUGCGGACUAUCAGGUUGUAGUCAGGGUAAAGACCUGACUAGCCUAUGACGGAUACGGGUUGUGAGAGCAAUAACCCGGAGAUGAUAUCUGAGACACGAUAUCAGGCCCUACGGGGCGCAGCAGGCGCGAAAACUUCACAAUGUGCGAAAGCACGAUGAGGGAAUCCCAAGUGCUUGCACGUAAGUGCAAGCUGUUUCUAUGUCUAAAAACACAUAGAGAGUAAGGGCUGGGUAAGACGGGUGCCAGCCGCCGCGGUAAUACCUGCAGCUCAAGUGGGGGGCCGCUAUUAUUGGGCCUAAAACGUCCGUAGCGGGUUUAAUAAAUGCCUGGGUAAAUUGUAUAGCUUAACUAUACGAAUUCCGGGUAGACUGAUAAACUUGAGAUCGGGGGAAGUUUAGAGGUACUUCCUUGGGGUAAGAGGUGAAAUUCUGUAAUCCUAGGGGGACCCACCGGUGGCAAAGGCGUCUGACUAAAAACGGGUCUGACGGGUGAGGGACGAAGCCCCUGGGGCGCAAACGGGAUUAGAUACCCCGGUAGUCCAGGGUGUAAACGCUGCUUGCUUGAUGUUAGUCGGGCUUCGAGCCCGAAUUAGUGUCGGAGAGAAGUUGUUAAGCAAGCUGCCUGGGAAAGUACGGGCCGCAAGACUGAAACUUAA